rnacentral:rRNA from 1 species
AACGAACGCUGGCGGCAUGCCUAACACAUGCAAGUCGAACGAAGCCUUCGGGCUUAGUGGCGCACGGGUGCGUAACGCGUGGGAAUCUGCCCCUUGCUUCGGAAUACCAGUUAGAAAUGACUGCUAAUACCGGAUGAAGUCUUCGGACCAAAGAUUUAUCGGCAAGGGAUGAGCCCGCGUAGGAUUAGGUAGUUGGUGGGGUAAAGGCCUACCAAGCCGACGAUCCUUAGCUGGUCUGAGAGGAUGAUCAGCCACACUGGGACUGAGACACGGCCCAGACUCCUACGGGAGGCAGCAGUGGGGAAUAUUGGACAAUGGACGCAAGUCUGAUCCAGCAAUGCCGCGUGAGUGAUGAAGGCCUUAGGGUUGUAAAGCUCUUUUACCAGGGAUGAUAAUGACAGUACCUGGAGAAUAAGCUCCGGCUAACUCCGUG